rnacentral:rRNA from 1 species
AUUGAACGCUGGCGGCAGGCCUAACCCAUGCAAGUCGAGCGAGCGGCGGACGGGUGAGUAAUGUCUGGGAAACUGCCUGAUGGAGGGGGAUAACUACUGGAAACGGUAGCUAAUACCGCAUACCAUCAGAUGUGCCCAUAUGGGAUUGGCUAGUAGGUGGGGUAACGGCUCACCUAGGCGACGCUCCCUAGCUGGUCUGAGAGGUUGACCAGCCACAAUGGAACGGAGACAUGGUCCAGACUCCGACGGGAGGCAGCAGGGGGGAAUAUUGGGCAAUGGGCGCAAGCCUGAUGCAGCCAUGCCGCGUGUGUGAAGAAGGCCUUCGGGUUGUAAAGCACUUUCAGCGGGGAGGCGUUACCCGCAGAAGAAGCACCGGCUAACUCCGUGCCAGCAGCCGCGGUAAUUC